rnacentral:lncRNA from 1 species
AUAGGAAUUCGAUGUUCAAUUAUAAACCCAAAAUAUAUGCAAUACUUUAUCAAAAACCAUCGAUAUAAACUCUCUGGCAUUAUCCAGUCUCUCGAACCUUAAGGGAUAAGUAGGGUGGUGAGCCCUUAAUCGGCCAUGAGGUUUAGCAGCAAUGUGUGUGGACAAACAUAUGACCAGUUUGUCGAUUCAUCAACCAAAACCAUAAGUAUUUAUAUGGUCCGCAUUUUGGUUGGAUUAGUCCACAUAUAUUCCCUUGAAUCCACUGUGAAAAGAGAGUCGUUUCGUAUCUUUGCAAAGGAUGAUUUAGAAAAUCAAUUUUCCUAAUGAGCAGGCUUGGCAAAGUGUG